rnacentral:rRNA from 1 species
UGGGGAAUAUUGGACAAUGGGCGCAAGCCUGAUCCAGCCAUACCGCGUGGGUGAAGAAGGCCUUCGGGUUGUAAAGCCCUUUUGUUGGGAAAGAAAUCCAGCCGGCUAAUACCUGGUUGGGAUGACGGUACCCAAAGAAUAAGCACCGGCUAACUUCGUGCCAGCAGCCGCGGUAAUACGAAGGGUGCAAGCGUUACUCGGAAUUACUGGGCGUAAAGCGUGCGUAGGUGGUCGUUUAAGUCCGUUGUGAAAGCCCUGGGCUCAACCUGGGAACUGCAGUGGAUACUGGGCGACUAGAGUGUGGUAGAGGGUAGCGGAAUUCCUGGUGUAGCAGUGAAAUGCGUAGAGAUCAGGAGGAACAUCCAUGGCGAAGGCAGCUACCUGGACCAACACUGACACUGAGGCACGAAAGCGUGGGG